AGAAACCAGAACUGUUGGUCCUUUUGGAGCUAGGCGAUAACCAAGUAACAAGUCUAGAAUUCUAUUGCACAGAAGAUACUGGGUUCAAAUCUGGCCUCAGACACUUCCUAGCUGUGUGACCCUGGGCAAGUCACUUAACCCCCAGAGCCUAGCCCUUACCACUCUUCUGCCUUGGAACCAAUACUUAACACUGAUUCCAAGAUGGAAGGUAGGGGUUUAAGAAAGAAAGAAAGAAAUCUAUUGCAGCCCAUCACAAAAGAAAGGGUAGCUCCUGGCCCAGUGGCUCCCAAGAUUAUAAUAGGUAAUGAUAGUCCAAGUGAGUCUACUGAGUCAGUAAGUGCCCCAGCCACCACCCACCUUACAAAGAGUCAUCAAAAUCCUGUGACAAGACAGAAGUCAGGACUGGCGGUGGCCCCAGGCGCAGUGGAUGAUUUUGGCAUCUUCCAUGUCUGACCAAGCUCUAAGCCCUCCACAGUGCCUGCUUCAGCCCAUUUGUGUCUGUCAGAACAAAGAGUUCCCUCUACCCUUCUUCUGGGGGAAGUCUUCAUAUGCUUGGGUUAGACAACUGGUUUGGGGUCCAUGGGUUACCCUCAACCUGCUUUAGCCAGUGGUGGAUACGGUUUAUCCAUGGGUGCUGCCCAGGCUACAAUGUCUUGGAGCCACAAAUGGAGCUGAGUGAGAGGCAGACACCAAAGAUGGAUGCACAGCCCUGAAAAGGGGCUCCCCAAGCCCUCUAACCCGAGGUUCUGUCCCUCCUUGAACCCCUAACCACCCUGAGACUGAGAGGGCACAGUAUGGCAUAAUAAUAUACAAUAAUUACUCUAUUUGAUGUUGGUGAUGUUUUGCUGUGUUUUGAGUUUAUCCAUUGAACUUUGAUCAUAAUGUGUAUGUACAAGAAAGUCCCGUUCCAUGUGGGGUCAGCAGGUGUUCUCUUCAUUCUGAGCUUUCCUGAAUUCGUGGUAAGUCUUGAGGAUAUAAGGGGCUCUGCUGUAUGUCCUUGAAAAUCAACUGGCUUUCUUUCAUUUGCCAAGGUCAAUCAACAGACUGGACUGUGUGGGUGAGGGCAUCCCAAUUAGGACCAAUUCUGAC
rnacentral:lncRNA from 1 species